CCUACGGGGGGCAGCAGUGGGGAAUAUUGGGCAAUGGGCGAAAGCCUGACCCAGCAACGCCGCGUGAAGGAAGAAGGCUUUCGGGUUGUAAACUUCUUUUGGCAGGGAAGAGCAGAAGACGGUACCUGUCGAAUAAGCGACGGCUAAAUACGUGACAGUCGCCGCGGUAAUACGUAGGUGGCAAGCGUUGUCCGGAUUUACUGGGUUUAAAGGGCGUGUAUCCGGGCUGACAAGUCCGAUGUGAAAUCCGGGGGCUCAAGCCCCGACCAGCUGUUGAAACUGGUGGUCUGGAGUAUAGUAGAGGCAGGCGGAAUUCCGAGUGUAGCGGUGAAAUGCGUAGAUAUUAGGAGGAACACCAGUGGCGAAGGCGGCCUGCUGGACGACAACUGACGGUGAGGCGCGAAAGCGUGGGGAGCAAACAGGAUUAGAUACCCGAGUAGUC
rnacentral:rRNA from 1 species